AGCGAACGCUGGCGGCAGGCCUAACACAUGCAAGUCGAGCGCCCAGCAAUGGGAGCGGCAGACGGGUGAGUAACGCGUGGGGAUCUGCCCAAUGGUACGGAAUAACCCAGGGAAACUUGGAUUAAUACCGUAUGUGCCCUUCGGGGGAAAGAUUUAUCGCCAUUGGAUGAACCCGCGUCGGAUUAGCUAGUUGGUGUGGUAAAGGCGCACCAAGGCGACGAUCCGUAGCUGGUCUGAGAGGAUGAUCAGCCACACUGGGACUGAGACACGGCCCAGACUCCUACGGGAGGCAGCAGUGGGGAAUAUUGGACAAUGGGCGCAAGCCUGAUCCAGCCAUGCCGCGUGUGUGAUGAAGGCCUUAGGGUUGUAAAGCACUUUCGCCGGUGAAGAUAAUGACGGUAACCGGAGAAGAAGCCCCGGCUAACUUCGUGCCAGCCGCCGCAGUAAUAC
rnacentral:rRNA from 1 species